AAAAAAGCUCUGGAUUUGUCUCUACUUUGGGCCGAAAACGCCUACUGGAUUCCUCUGGGCCGUUAAUUCUUCCUCCCAACUUUCUCACCUUCUUUGUCCCUCAACAAAUUAUUUACCGAAGGCGUUCCAAGCGACGUGGUGAAGUUGAUUUUCGCGCCUCAUGCAAGGGUUUUCCGAGACCGAUUCAGGCAGCUCUGAACCAGAAGACUUGUCUAGAAACUGAGCGUUUCAUUCCUCGUUGGCUUUACAUUCUCUGUUUAUAUGAUCUCCAUUUCAAAUUCAUUAGUUUUGCUGUCAAAUAUGCCUUUUGUUUUAGAUAAGAGAACUAAAGGAAGCAGACGCUAUGUUCCUCAGAAGAAUUCUGUAGCAUAUGCAUUGUUGAUUACACUUUACAGGAUCUUAUCGAUGCAGCUGAAGCAAGUAGGCUUUCUCGUGUGCCAAUAAGGCCAGAGAAGGGAAAGGGAAAAGCUGGACGCUUUGGGAGUUCUGCAAGGGAGUGUUAUAGUGGAUGGUCCUGCAUGAAGACAUUGAUAUCCAAGAGACUGGUUAUCAAAUCAAGUUGCCCAGCAAAGUACAUGCUUAGUCAAGAAGGUCAGGAAGCUGCACGUGAAUGUCUCAUGAGGUCUAGUAUGGAAAACCCCAUUGAAAAAACUGCUAAUGCUAAAGUGCUUUCUGUUCUGGAUGUGGACAAUAUUUCAUAUCAGGAGCUUGCUCAUCGUGACUCAGCCACGGAAAUGAUGUUGUUAUCCCCUACUGUGAGUAGGUGGAAGAAAUCAUUUGAUAUUCCACGGCUAUACAUUGUGAAGAGGUGUGGACUUAAGAAACUGAUAUCUUGUGGAAGGUGAUCCAAAUUGUUCUGAAGCUGCAGAAAGCAUUAAAACACCCUGUUUCACAACUGAAAUUUUGGAGGGAUUUGAUGUUCAGAGAACCAUUGGCUUGGUUGAUACAUUGAAGAAGUCCCCCAGGUAACCGAGGAAGUUGCCUUAGCUGUUCUGGAUUUGUACUCGACACUUUUAUCUUGCCCGUGCCUACUCUCUACUUUGGUUGCUCUUACUUUGUAUGCCUGCUUGAGUGUGGAAGAGCCAAAAGGCCCUGAAUUCAGCAUCAACGGUGCUUAUCUUACCCGAUUUAAUUACACCGAAACCAACCAUACUCUCUCCUACAAGCUCCCCCUCAACAUCACCCUCACAAACCCUUACAAGGAUCCCUUUGAGUUGAUUGACACCCAAGUCACUGCAUACUAUCAAAAAUAAAGAUUUGGCAUUGUCACCUUGAUCGACAGCCAGACAACGCCUAGAAGCCAAUAAUACAACCAUCUUUCAGAAUGCAGUUGUUCAAGGGUGGAAGCCUAUGGUGUUUGAGGAACCCUUGCUUCUCAAUACUACUCGCCUUUACAGUAUUGACGUGGUGAUUGCUUUCAAAGAUAAGAAUCAGGUGAUUGGCGGUGAGGUCAUGUGCAAUCUAAAUGUUCCUUUUGAGUUUUAACGAAAUAUCUUGCAAUGGUUACAAGUCUACAAAGUGCUUCCAGGUUUUUCUUGAAUAUUUAUGAUUGCCAUUUGCAGCCCUCCAGAAGUACGCUCGAAACAUUGAUGUGUUAGUUAAUUUCAAUUUUCAACUCGUGCUUAGCAAAUAU